rnacentral:rRNA from 1 species
AGAACGAACGCUGGCGGCAUGCCUAAUACAUGCAAGUCGAACGAACUCUUCGGAGUUAGUGGCGCACGGGUGCGUAACGCGUGGGAAUCUGCCCUUGGGUUCGGAAUAACAGUUGGAAACGACUGCUAAUACCGGAUGAUGACGAAAGUCCAAAGAUUUAUCGCCCAGGGAUGAGCCCGCGUAGGAUUAGCUAGUUGGUGAGGUAAGCUCACCAAGGCGACGAUCUGUAGCUGGUCUGAGAGGACGACCAGCCACACUGGAACUGAGACACGGUCCAG